GAUGGACGCUGGCGGCGUGCUUAACACAUGCAAGUCGAACGGAAAGGCUCCUGCUUGCAGGGGUACUCGAGUGGCGAACGGGUGAGUAACACGUGGGUGAUCUGCCCUGCACUUCGGGAUAAGCCUGGGAAACUGGGUCUAAUACCGGAUAGGACGAUGGUUUGGAUGCCAUUGUGGAAAGUUUUUUCGGUGUGGGAUGAGCUCGCGGCCUAUCAGCUUGUUGGUGGGGUAAUGGCCUACCAAGGCGUCGACGGGUAGCCGGCCUGAGAGGGUGUACGGCCACAUUGGAACUGAGACACGGUCCAGACUCCUACGGGAGGCAGCAGUAAGGAAUAUUGCUCAAUGGGAGAAAUCCUGAAGCAGCAACGCCGCGUGAGGGACGAAGGGCUUUUGCUUGUAAACCUCUGUAGUGAGAGAAAAAAAUCCCAAUCUUUGGGACAUGAUGGUAUCUCAAAAGUAAGCCCCGGCUAACUACGUG
rnacentral:rRNA from 1 species